GGGCGGUUAGCUCAGUUGGUUAGAGCGCUUGCUUCACACGCAAGAGGUCACUGGUUCAAAUCCAGUAUCGCCCACCA
rnacentral:tRNA from 2 species